ensembl:snRNA U5 U5 spliceosomal RNA
AGACUUGUGUUUCUCUUCAGAUCGUAUAAAUCUUUCGCCUUUUACUAAAGAUUUCUGUGGAGAGAAACAACUCAAAAAAGUACAAAUGGUGUCUAGUACUUUUAGCAGGCACUAUAAAAACUGUUU